UCGGGGUGGCCACCGUACCCGACCCACACGACCCCAG
rnacentral:rRNA from 1 species